rnacentral:rRNA from 1 species
GGCUCAGAUUGAACGCUGGCGGCAGGCCUAACACAUGCAAGUCGAACGGUAACAGGAAGCAGCUUGCUGCUUCGCUGACGAGUGGCGGACGGGUGAGUAAUGUCUGGGAAACUGCCUGAUGGAGGGGGAUAACUACUGGAAACGGUAGCUAAUACCGCAUAACGUCGCAAGACCAAAGAGGGGGACCUUCGGGCCUCUUGCCAUCGGAUGUGCCCAGAUGGGAUUAGCUAGUAGGUGGGGUAACGGCUCACCUAGGCGACGAUCCCUAGCUGGUCUGAGAGGAUGACCAGCCACACUGGAACUGAGACACGGUCCAGACUCCUACGGGAGGCAGCAGUGGGGAAUAUUGCACAAUGGGCGCAAGCCUGAUGCAGCCAUGCCGCGUGUAUGAAGAAGGCCUUCGGGUUGUAAAGUACUUUCAGCGGGGAGGAAGGCGACAGGGUUAAUAACCCUGUCGAUUGACGUUACCCGCAGAAGAAGCACCGGCUAACUCCGUGCCAGCAGCCGCGGUAAUACGGAGGGUGCAAGCGUUAAUCGGAAUUACUGGGCGUAAAGCGCACGCAGGCGGUCUGUCAAGUCGGAUGUGAAAUCCCCGGGCUCAACCUGGGAACUGCAUUCGAAACUGGCAGGCUAGAGUCUUGUAGAGGGGGGUAGAAUUCCAGGUGUAGCGGUGAAAUGCGUAGAGAUCUGGAGGAAUACCGGUGGCGAAGGCGGCCCCCUGGACAAAGACUGACG